UGGGGAAUUUUGGACAAUGGGCGAAAGCCUGAUCCAGCAAUGCCGCGUGUGUGAAGAAGGCCUUCGGGUUGUAAAGCACUUUUGUCCGGAAAGAAAUCCUUGGCUCUAAUACAGUCGGGGGAUGACGGUACCGGAAGAAUAAGCACCGGCUAACUACGUGCCAGCAGCCGCGGUAAUACGUAGGGUGCAAGCGUUAAUCGGAAUUACUGGGCGUAAAGCGUGCGCAGGCGGUUUGCUAAGACCGAUGUGAAAUCCCCGGGCUCAACCUGGGAACUGCAUUGGUGACUGGCAGGCUAGAGUAUGGCAGAGGGGGGUAGAAUUCCACGUGUAGCAGUGAAAUGCGUAGAGAUGUGGAGGAAUACCGAUGGCGAAGGCAGCCCCCUGGGCCAAUACUGACGCUCAUGCACGAAAGCGUGGGGAGCAAACAGGAUUAGAUACCCUGGUAGUCCACGCCCUAAACGAUGUCACUAGUUGUUGGGGAUUCAUUUCCUAGUAACGUAGCUAACGCGUGAAGUUGACCGCCUGGGGAGUACGGUCGCAAGAUUAAAACUCAAAGGAAUUGACGGGGUCAUAGCUGUUUCCU
rnacentral:rRNA from 1 species